AGUGAACGCUGGCGGUAGGCCUAACACAUGCAAGUCGAACGGCAGCACAGUAAGAGCUUGCUCUUACGGGUGGCGAGUGGCGGACGGGUGAGGAAUACAUCGGAAUCUACUUUUUCGUGGGGGAUAACGUAGGGAAACUUACGCUAAUACCGCAUACGACCUACGGGUGAAAGCAGGGGAUCUUCGGACCUUGCGCGAUUGAAUGAGCCGAUGUCGGAUUAGCUAGUUGGCGGGGUAAAGGCCCACCAAGGCGACGAUCCGUAGCUGGUCUGAGAGGAUGAUCAGCCACACUGGAACUGAGACACGGUCCAGACUCCUACGGGAGGCAGCAGUGGGGAAUAUUGGACAAUGGGCGAAAGCCUGACCCAGCCAUACCGCGUGGGUGAAGAAGGCCUUCGGGUUGUAAAGCCCUUUUGUUGGGAAAGAAAAGCAGCAGGUUAAUACCCCGCUGUUCUGACGGUACCCAAAGAGUAAGCACCGGCUAACUUCGUG
rnacentral:rRNA from 1 species